UUCUUCACAGAGAAACGGGUCCAAACCUCUUAUCAGUAACAGUGAUAACAGUCCUGCAGCGGGAGGAGAAACUUCCUCAGACUGAGAGGAGGAACAUCAGGAACCGAGACUCAGUUAGAGGAACCCAAAUAAACACACAACAGAACAAGUACUGUACAGAGAGAUAAUGGAGAAGUAUAGAUAAUGGAGAGGAAGAGAUAAUGGAGAAGUGUAAAUAAUAGAGAGGUAGAGAUAAUGGAGAAGUAUAGAUAAUGGGGAGGUAAAGAUAAUGGAGAAGUAUAGAUAAUGGAGAGGUAGAGAUAAUGGAGCGGUAGAGAUAAUGGAGAGGUAGAGAUAAUGGAGAAGUAUAGAUAAUGGAGAGGUAGAGAUAAUGGAGCGGUAGAGAUAAUGGAGAGGUAGAGAUAAUGGAGAAGUAUAGAUAAUGGAGAGGUAGAGAUAAUGGAGAAGUAUAGAUAAUGGAGAGGUAGAGAUAAUGGAGCGGUAGAGAUAAUGGAGAGGUAGAGAUAAUGGAGAAGUAUAGAUAAUGGAGAGGUAGAGAUAAUGGAGAAGUAUAGAUAAUGGAGAGGUAGAGAUAAUGGAGAAGUAGAGAUAAUGGAGAAGUAUAGAUAAUGGAGAGGUAGAGAUAAUGGAGAAGUAGAGAUAAUGGAGAAGUAGAGAUAAUGGAGCGGUAGAGAUAAUGGAGAGGUAGAGAUAAUGGAGAAGUAUAGAUAAUGGAGAGGUAGAGAUAAUGGAGAAGUAUAGAUAAUGGAGAGGUAGAGAUAAUGGAGAAUUAUAGAUAAUGUUGAGGUAGAGAUAAUGGAGAAGUAUAGAUAAUGGAGAGGAAGAGAUAAUGGAGAGGUAGAGAUAAUGGAGAAGUAUAGAUAAUGGAGAGGUAGAAAUAAUGGAGAAGUAUAGAUAAUGGAGAGAUAUAGAUAAUGGAGAAACAGGAUUUAAAUCAGAUUAUCCUUUAAAAUAUAUAAUUUAUAUAUGACUAAUAUAAUCUGCUGAAACCUCAACAGUUUACAGUUUUGGGCUCAAUAAUGCAGAAAAAUAAUUGAAGGGUUUUGGAUUCUCCAUUACUGUCACAAUAUUGUUACCAUUCCUCUGCUGGCAGGAUAACCAGCAAGCUGGUUGGGUAUUUUUGUUAAGGGGCGGGGCUUUAUUUAUAGCACAUUCUUCAGGAUUACACACAUUCAGUACAGAGCGGAUUAUAUAGAAACUGAUUCUGGCCGGAAUGUGAAUUAUCAUAAGUUGGAAAAGGGCCUGAUGAUCAUUAUGUGUCUAGACAGAUGGAACAGCCAGAACCCACCAUCAUUAGCCCACCCCCACUGCACUAUCCUCUAUCAGCCCUCACUACAACUCCCAUAAUUCACCUCACCUUACCAUGAGCACACUGACCAGUGUUCAACCAACUUCACUCACAAGAUAACACCUCACAACGUUUACAGUUACUGGUGUUCCCAACCAUCCCCUGAAGUAACCUUUAGUAAUUUUGUAACUUCUGGGUAAUCUGUGUAAUUAUGUAAUUAGAAGCUGAUCUGUGCUGCAGGAUCUUCAUUUGAAUACAAUAUAAAUAUUAUUAUGAAAUGAAUAAUAAUUUUUAAGGAUGAUAAUUUAAUCCCGUGCUGUAGAGCAGGGUAAAGAGCAGGGUGUUACUAUAAGCAUGUUUUUGUUAUUAUAGUUGAGGCACCAGGUGUCCAUUUCCUGUCCUAUUGUGGGGGGGUGGCAGUGACUUCCUGUUUUUACGAUUGGCACCAGAGCAGAAAUCUCCUCCAUUGUUUCUCUGAGAAAACUAACCUCCAGCUGCUGGUUCUCCGCUGAUUAACGGCCGAGUUCUGCUAAUGGUUCUGGAAUGCAGGAGAAACAAUCCUGCAGUCGAGCUGCAGGACAAUAACAAUAUCCUGAACUGCAGGAAAACAGAUCAGCACCAUUAACACUCAUUAGCCCAGCGCUAACAUUCAUUAGCCCAGCACUUACGGUCAUUAGCCCAGAGCUAACGCUCAUUAGCCCAGCGCUAACAUUCAUUAGCCCAGCGCUAACGCUCAUAGCCUCUCUCUCUGUU